rnacentral:lncRNA from 1 species
CCAAGGUCUCCAGGUUACCACCUGGAGGGUCUCAAUAUCCAUGAAGUCUUUCUGAGUCUGUGCGUCUGUCCAUCACAUACCAAUGGGAUCAGCAAUAUAUGGAUGGACCCCUGCAAUCAGCUCAAAUGUUCCUUGGACUGACCUGUGUACCUAUGGGAGGCCCCUUCUCCCAUUCCACUGGACCAAGAGGUGGUAAAUGAAUAUUCCCCAAACAGGAAAAUGGUUAGCCUCCUAAAUGGUGGAAUAAAAGACCCAGAUAAGGACCUUACCUGAGAAGCAUAGGGACAGGCCAGCCUGUGGCACUUUUAUGUAUCUACCUGCUGAAUCCAAAGAGAAGGGAACAAACUAUUGUAGAGCCCCUAGAACAGACAAAAACCUGGCAAAAAACCACUAACUUGCUGACCAAUGGACAAGACUAAGUUUCCAGUGUAUGAGUUUCUUCCAGAAGAUCAAAGUAAUACGACUCUUGAGAAGUGAGGCCGGCCUUCCAGUUGGAAAUCUGUCUCACAUCCAGCCUCCUUGACCUGAAGGCAUCACACGUCCGAGGAGCAGGACAAUCUGUCUGAAGCCUUAAGGAUAGAAGAAGGAUUUGGACUUCGAUGCCUUGAGG